rnacentral:tRNA from 1 species
CGGGGUGUAGCUCAGUCUGGCCAGAGCGCUGCGUUCGGGACGCAGAGGUCGCUGGUUCAAAUCCAGUCACCCCGA